rnacentral:rRNA from 1 species
AUUGAACGCUGGCGGCAUGCCUUACACAUGCAAGUCGAACGGCAGCGCGGACUUCGUUCUGGCGGCUAGUGGCGAACGGGUGAGUAAUACAUCGGAACGUACCCUGCUGUGGUGGAUAACAAGUCGAAAGAUUAGCUAAUACUGCAUACGACCUGAGCGUGCAGGUGGGGGACCGCAGGGCCUCACCCACCGGUAGCGACCGAUGUCUGGGUAGCUAGUUGGUGGGGUAAAGGCCCACCAAGCCGACGAUCAGUAGCUGGACUGCGAGGACGAUCAGCCACACUAGGACUGAGCCACGGCCCUGACUCCUGCGGGAGGCAGCAGUGGGGAAUUGUGGACAAUGGGGGGAAACCUGAUACAACAAUGGCGCGUGUGUGAAAGAGGCCUUCCGGUUGUAAAGCCGUUUUGUCCGGAAAGAAAUGGCUCUGGUUAAUACCUAGCGUGGAUGACGGUAACGGAAGAAUAAGCACCGGCUAACUACGUG